rnacentral:rRNA from 1 species
GUGGGGAAUCUUGCGCAAUGGGCGAAAGCCUGACACAGCCAUGCCGCGUGAAUGAUGAAGGUCUUAGGAUUGUAAAAUUCUUUCACCGGGGACGAUAAUGACGGUACCCGGAGAAGAAGCUCCGGCUAACUUCGUGCCAGCAGCCGCGGUAAUACGAAGGGGGCUAGCGUUGCUCGGAAUUACUGGGCGUAAAGGGCGCGUAGGCGGACAGCUUAGUCAGAGGUGAAAGCCCAGGGCUCAACCUUGGAAUUGCCUUUGAUACUGGCUGUCUUGAGUUUGGGAGAGGUGAGUGGAACUCCGAGUGUAGAGGUGAAAUUCGUAGAUAUUCGGAAGAACACCAGUGGCGAAGGCGACUCACUGGCCCAAUACUGACGCUGAGGCGCGAAAGCGUGGGGAGCAAACAGGAUUAGAUACCCCUGUAGUCC